UACGUAGGGCGCAAGCGUUGUCCGGAAUCAUUGGGCGUAAAGAGCGCGUAGGCGGUCUGUUACGUCUGCUGUGAAAUCCUAGGGCUUAACCCUGGGCCUGCAGUGGAUACGGGCAGACUAGAGGUAGGUAGGGGAGAAUGGAAUUCCCGGUGUAGCGGUGAAAUGCGCAGAUAUCGGGAGGAACACCGGUGGCGAAGGCGGUUCUCUGGGCCUUACCUGACACUGAGGAGCGAAAGCGUGGGGAGCGAACAGG
rnacentral:rRNA from 1 species